rnacentral:rRNA from 1 species
GACGAACGCUGGCGGCGUGCUUAACACAUGCAAGUCGAACGAGUGGCGAACGGGUGAGUAACACGUGGGUGACCUGCCCUGCACUUCGGGAUAAGCCUGGGAAACUGGGUCUAAUACCGGAUAGUGUGGGAUGGGCCCGCGGCCUAUCAGCUUGUUGGUGGGGUAAUGGCUACCAAGGCGCGACGGGUAGCCGGCCUGAGAGGGUGGACGGCCACAUUUGUACUGUGUGACGGCCCAGACUCUUACGGUGGGCAGCAGUGGGGAAUCUUCCGACAUGGAGGAAAGUCUGACGGAGCAACGCCGCGUGAGUGAUGACGGCCUUCGGGUUGUAAAGCUCUGUUAAUCGGGACGCGGUACCGGAAUAGAAAGCCACGGCUAACUACGUGCCAGCAGCCGCGGUAAUAC